rnacentral:tmRNA from 1 species
ACCCUUUAAAAAGGUAAGCCUCUGCCCCACAUGGAUAAAUGUCCGGUCGCACCGGACUAUGGGCAUAAACGGCACGUUCACUAGCCGUAGCGGACCCGGGGGCAGUACCCGGCGCCUCCACCAACAUCACCGACCCGCGUAUCGCCGUUCCCCUCUUUCGGCGUUGCACGUCGGGUCGGGCUGCCACCUCAUGGGGGCGAACCAGGAUCGACGCGCGGCAAAAGACGUGUCUUUGCCCCGGCAUGGCAUCCGCCGUUAUCGGGCCAUCCAAGAAGUGCGAACGACAAUCGCGCUCCGGUUGCCGCGGCCGCGUAACAGCGCCAAGGCAACCACGGCAUAAAUCCCUAGUCGGGUCGAGUCCGGCUAGGUGGGGUCUGGGGCUACCUAGCAACAGAAAGCCCCACU